GCCCUUUUGCCGUUGUGCUAC
rnacentral:miRNA from 1 species